GAGGGUACAGCUCAGUGGUAGAGCGUGUGCUUAGCAUGCAUGAGGUCCUGGGUUCAAUCUCCAGUACCUUGA
rnacentral:tRNA from 1 species